CAUGUGGCUUUUUUUAAAGCCAUAUAUUCUAUUAAAACUAUUUACCU
rfam:Rattus norvegicus chromosome 2, whole genome shotgun sequence.